GACGGAGGGUGCAAGCGUUGUUCGGAUUGACUGGGCGUAAAGGGCGUGUAGGCGGUUGGUCAAGUCCGAUGUGAAAGCCCGGGGCUCAGCUUCGGAAGUGCAUCGGAAACUAGCCAGCUGGAGCGCGAUAGAGGAGGGCGGAAUUCCUGGUGUAGCGGUGGAAUGCGUAGAGAUCCGGAAGAACACCGGUGGCGAAGGCGGCCUGCUGGGCAGUUUAGCUGACACUGAGGCGCGACAGCGUGGGGAGCAAACAGG
rnacentral:rRNA from 1 species